GUGAACGUGACAGAAUUCCUCCAAUUAUUUACUUUUCAUCAACACCUGAGGGCCUACAAGAAACAGAAAGUCCUCUGAGAGGCACCCCCUGCAUGAAUGCACACAAGGAGGGUCCACCAUAAAGAACCAGACCUGUUCUGCCCCCAUGGCACCCAUAAGGAUUCAUUCAUUCCCUGUUCCCCUUCUAUCCCCUCACAAAAUGGAAUGUAUUGACAUCAGGUAAAUUCUCUUCCAACCACAGAAUCCCAGUGCUGCACCAGCUCAGUCUGCAGCAAAGCCCAUGGAUUCUGACCUUCAUGCUUGAUUGUAUGGAGCCAGAGCAGCCCCAAGGGGAGGUGGAGGUAGAGGUUACAGAAUCAUAAGGUUGGAAGAGACCUUCAAGAUUAUCGAGGUCAAACUUGACAUUUUUGAGAGCUAGCCCAAAGAGAGGCUUUGGUGACAUUGGGGUGACAUGAAGCAUGACUGCAGAACAAUUCAGUCACGGCCAUCUAACCUCAACAGCCUCAAGAGGAAUAUGGAUGGGACAUGCCCUUCACACAACACAGAACUGAAAUUUGAGCUUUUAACCAGCUAACAGGGACCCUGAGGAUGAGAAUUUCUCCUAAGAGAGCAUGGACACAGUAAGAUCAAGACAGUACAAGAAGAAGUUCGAGUGAGGAACUGCACUACAGAGAGUUUCACUUCACUGGGCAGCUGGGAAGAACUGAAACAACACAAGGAGUUCUCCCUCUCGCCGUGUGAAAAGCAGGCAGGGUGUGUACCCAACUUCAGUGACUGUGAGGGCAAAACAACUCAUUUGGUCCAGUGACAACACUGAGAGCAAUCCUAUGGAAGAGGA